rnacentral:rRNA from 1 species
GACGAACGCUGGCGGCGUGCCUAAUACAUGCAAGUCGAACGGUCUUUUCUAUGGAAGCUUGCUUCCACUGAGAAGAUAGUGGCGAACGGGUGAGUAACACGUGGGUAACCUGCCCAUAAGAGGGGGAUAACAUCCGGAAACGGGUGCUAAUACCGCAUAGUUUUCUUGAUUGCAUGAUUGAGAAAGGAAAGACGGCCUUUGUGCUGUCGCUUAUGGAUGGACCCGCGGCGUAUUAGUUAGUUGGUGAGGUAACGGCUCACCAAGACGAUGAUACGUAGCCGACCUGAGAGGGUGAUCGGCCACAUUGGAACUGAGACACGGUCCAAACUCCUACGGGAGGCAGCAGUGGGGAAUAUUGGGCAAUGGAGGAAACUCUGACCCAGCAACGCCGCGUGAAGGAGAAGGUUUUCGGAUCGUAAACUUCUAUCCUUGGUGAAAUAAAAGAUGGUAGCCAAGAGGAAGCCCCGGUAACUACGUG